AAUCUGUGAUGACCUUAUCCCGAACCUGAAUAUCUGUUGAGAAAAUUUAAUACGGAUCUGGCUUCUGAGAU
ensembl:snoRNA